rnacentral:rRNA from 1 species
UACGUAGGGGGCAAGCGUUGUCCGGAUUUAUUGGGCGUAAAGAGCUCGUAGGCGGUUGGGCAAGUCACGUGUGAAAUCUCCACGCUCAACGUGGAGGCGCCACGUGAGACUGCCCUGACUCGAGUCCGGUAGGGGAGCGUGGAAUUCCCGGUGUAGCGGUGAAAUGCGCAGAGAUCGGGAGGAACACCCGUAGCGAAGGCGGCGCUCUGGGCCGGUACUGACGCUGAGGAGCGAAAGCGUGGGGAGCAAACGGG